AUUCCAUGAAUGCCAGAGCACCUUAUCAGGGUGGUCCAAGAUCACACGUGUAUAUGAAAAAUAGCAUGUAAUCACGAUAUUCUGAGAACCUCCUGUUCAUGCAUUGCAAUCAAACUUGAAUCUUAUAAAUUGCCUCUGUCUUGGUUUGUAAAAUGGCUGUAUGGCGGAGGCAUCAUUUUCUAAUACGUGCAGUGGAAGGUCCAUCUAGUUUGAUAUUAUUAUAUGGAAUUUUAAAUAAUUUUCCUUUUUAACAGCUCCAUAGACCUAUGAUGCUUUAGAGGGUUUGAAGGAAGACGUAGAGAAGAUUUGGCUCCUAAGGAAGAGACCAUCGACUACUAAGGGAGAGAUCAUCAUCGAGAGAUCAGAAAAGACUUCGGCUGUGUUUGAAUCAGCAGAGAAGACGAAUAGCCCAACAGAAGACGUACAAGAAAUGGCUCCUGAGACCCAUGAUGCUUAGACGUCUGACGGAAGACGCAUAGAAGAAUUUGGCUCCUAAGGAAGAGACCAUCAUCAAGCUUGAAAUGACUGAACGUAUGUCUGACAAGACCAUCAUCAGCGUGCAUGUGAAGCCCCUACUCCACCUGAAGGUGCUGAUCCAGUCUACCGGUAAGAUGGUUCUUCUGGACAAACUAUUGCCAAAGCUCAAGGAAGGUGGCCACAAGGUGUCGAUCUUCUCCCAGAUGAUCUGCUGUCUGGAUAUCCUGGAAGACUACCUCAUCCAGAAAAGGUAUCUCUUUGAGAGGAUCGACGGCCGAGUAAGAGGCAACUAAAUGAGACGAGCUGCUAUAGCUAGGUUCAGUAAACCAGUUUGUUUGCUUGUUUGUAGAUUCCGAUCGCUUUGUGUUCCUACUGUGCACCUGAGCUGGUGGUCUAGGAAUCAACCUGACAGCGGCCGAUACCUGCAUCAUCUUUGACUCGGACUCAAAUCCUUAGAAUGAUAUCCAGACGGAGAUGAAGAGGUUAAAGGUCAGAGAGACGUUUUAUCCGGCUAUCUCCCAUGUCAAAUCAAAGAACGCCCUUGGCAUUUGGAAUAUUGGUCUGGAGUGGUGCAUGAGCAAUGAUACUGAAAUGAUGCAGAAUAUAUUUGAGGGUAUAUUACUCCUCGCUGUGAUUUCUCUAAAUGGAGAAGUGGCUUCUAGAAUGUAGCUGGAACCAGGUCAAUACUGCUCUGAGUGAUAUUGGAAUGGAGGAGAGUCCACAAGAAUUCGGGAAAGGACUUGAAUGAAACCAGAUUGGUGAUGUAAACAAAGAUAUGGAGACAUGGUAAUCAUCGUUUGCAUUGCUGGCCGUAGGAUAGAGUGACCGUUUACCUGAUGCCCUUUAUUGCCAUUUUUCAAAUAUAAUACUUCUGUUUCUGUAAAGUGCCUCAUAUACAUUAUGGAUUAUUAUGGCAAAAUCCAUGUAGUAUUAGUAGUAUAGUUUCAGUAGUAUAAUCUGUGUAAUAUUUGACCAGAUCACUUCAAUGUGCCUAAUAAAUAAAUAGUAUCUGCUGAUGUCCAAAUGAGAUAAAGCCAUGCAUUUUUUCAUUUUGCCUGCUCCUUUAUUUCAUUAUGGAACAAUCUUUGAAAAGUUAAAUUGUACUUCUGAAGGGGAUUUUUUGUUUAAAUAGAAAUUAGUAGUUUUUUAACUAAUUUAGCUACAGAAAGAUGGCACAUCAUAUACAUGUAAAAAGGUUAAAUGAUGUCGGUAAAAGUGUUAUAAACCCUAACUAGGUGGGUAGAAUUGAUCUUUAGAGUAGUGAGACAUCAAAUGUCACUCUACGUGCUAUACAAAAAUACCAUUAUUUUAAAAUUCAAGGUAAAAUAUCACAGGACCUUGAAAGUAUUUAAAAUUGUCAAAAAAUAUCUUGUUACUGCGAUAACUUGAAGAGCAUUAAAACAAUUCAAACCAAACUUAAUGGAGUAAAAGUAUUGUAAAACAUGUAUUUUGUCAAUGUGGAUGUUCAUCUUGAUGUUACUGUUAAUUUUAUGAUUAUAUGAUUGAAAAUAAAUGUAUAUAAAACAUA
rnacentral:lncRNA from 1 species